CACUUCAUGAUUCCUCGCAAGCUGGGCCCAGUCCUCUCAUCCCAAGAGCAGAGCCACCGUAGCCGGAGUCCUAGCCUCCCAAAUUCGGAAAUCCAAUCCAACGGUCUCAGGAAUGUUUUCCAUCCCGCCACGCGCCUCCCGAAGCUCCCAGACCGGAGGCUCAGCCCCCAUCUCGUAAAGCACUGCCUCCCUAGACCAAUUCUCUGGGAUCCCUGGAAGACAUCUGGCAUCCAGCAAGUCUUGACCCCUCUUUAGAAAGCCAUGGAGAAACUGGAGGUAAAAUACCUGUUUUCUGACAAGACUAGGACUCUUACAUAGACUGCCAUGAACUACAAGAAGUAUAGCAUUGCUCAAAUAACCUGUGGUUAGAGUUACUUGUUAUUGGUAAAUAGCCACUGUGGAGACUAAGGACCAAAAGAAACACAGAAAGAAAUUUUACAGAAGAAAAACAGUGGGCCCAAAGCUGAAAAGAAAAAGAAGCAGCAUCUGCAGGAUCUCCAGCUAGGGGAUGAAGAAGAUGUCUGGAAGAGAAAUCCCAAAGCUUUUGCAAUUCAGUCUGCUGUGGGGAUGGCUUGAUCCUUUCACAGGACUCAGGAUUUGAAGACAAAAAAGCAUCAUAUUCCAGUGGUUGAUCAGACUCCACUAGAGCCGCCACCAAUAGUGAUAGUGGUGACGGGGCCUCCAAAAGUUGGAAAGAGCACUUUGAUAUAAUGCCUCAUUGGGAACUUCACCCAGCAGAAGUUGACCGAGAUCAGAGGCCCUGUGAUGAUCGUGUCAGGUAAAAAGCUCCGACUCACCAUUAUUGAAUGUGGGUGUGACAUUAACAUGAUGAUUGAUCUGGCUGAAGUAGCAGAUCUGGUUGCCAAGCUGUUCUACCUUUCUGGAAUGGUGCAUGGAGAAUAUCAAGACCAAGAAAUCCACAAUCUGGGCCAUUUUAUUACAGUUAUGAAGUUUAGGCCUCUCACAUGGCAGACGUCUCAUCCUUAUAUCCUGGCAGACAGGAUGGAAGAUUUGAAAAACCCAGAGGAUAUCUGAACAAAAUGUGACUGGCAGGUGUCACUUUAUGGUUAUUUAAGAGGAGCACACUUGAAAAAUAAAAGCCAAAUUCACAUGCCAGGUAUCUACUGAGCGUUUCAGUCAACAAUACAGCUCGUGUUCGACAAUAUUCCUUGAUGGCAGCACAGCCAGCCAGCAUUAUCUUAUAAUGACAAUAAUAUCUGUGACCUUGGAGAUACAUCAUCAUAUCACGGAAAGAGAUGCAGAUAGAUCUUUGACCAUACUUGAUGAACAGUUAUACUCAUUUGCGUUUUCCACCGUGCACAUUACGAAGAAAAGAAAUGGAGGUGGGAGUUUAAAUAACUAUUCCUCCUCCAUUCCAUUGACUCCCAGCACCAGCCAGGAGGACCUUUAUUUCAGUGUUCCUCCCACUGCCAACACACCCACGCCCAUUUGCAAGCAGUCCAUGGGCUGGUCCAACCUGUUUACAUCUGAGAAAGGGAGUGACCCAGACAAAGGGAGGAAAGCCCUGGAGAGUCACGCUGACACCAUCGGGAGCGGCAGAGCCAUCCCCAUUAAACAGGGCAUGCUCUUAAAGCGAAGUGGGAAAUGGCUGAAGACAUGGAAAAAGAAAUAUGUCACCCUGUGUUCCAAUGGCGUGCUCACCUAUUAUUCAAGCUUAGGUGAUUAUAUGAAGAAUAUUCAUAAAAAAGAGAUUGACCUUCGGACAUCUACCAUCAAAGUCCCAGGAAAGUGGCCAUCCCUAGCCACAUCGGCCUGCGCACCCAUCUCCAGCUCUAAAAGCAAUGGCCUAUCCAAGGACAUGGAAGCUCUGCAUAUGUCAGCCAAUUCAGACAUCGGGCUGGGUGACUCCAUAUGCUUCAGCCCCAGUAUCUCCAGCACCACCAGCCCCAAGCUCAACCUGCCCCCCUCCCCUCAUGCC
rnacentral:lncRNA from 1 species